AUUCGCGGCCUAUCAGCUUGUUGGUGGGGUGAUGGCCUACCAAGGCGGUGACGGGUAGCCGGCCUGAGAGGGUGUCCGGCCACACUGGGACUGAGACACGGCCCAGACUCCUACGGGAGGCAGCAGUGGGGAAUAUUGCACAAUGGGCGCAAGUCUGAUGCAGCAACGCCGCGUGAGGGACGACGGCCUUCGGGUUGUAAACCUCUUUUAGCAGGGAAGAAGCGAAAGUGACGGUACCUGCAGAAAAAGCACCGGCUAACUACGUGCCAGCAGCCGCGGUAAUACGUAGGGUGCAAGCGUUGUCCGGAAUUAUUGGGCGUAAAGAGCUCGUAGGCGGUUUGUCGCGUCUGCUGUGAAAACGCGAGGCUCAACCUCGCGCCUGCAGUGGGUACGGGCAAACUAGAGUGCGGUAGGGGAGAUUGGAAUUCCUGGUGUAGCGGUGGAUUGCGCAGAUAUCAGGAGGAACACCAAUGGCGAAGGCAGAUCUCUGGGCCGUAACUGACGCUGAGGAGCGAAAGCAUGGGGAGCGAACAGGAUUAGAUACCCUGGUAGUCCAUGCCGUAAACGUUGGGAACUAGAUGUAGGGACCAUUCCACGGUUUCUGUGUCGCAGCUAACGCAUUAAGUUCCCCGCCUGGGGAGUACGGAAU
rnacentral:rRNA from 1 species